rnacentral:rRNA from 1 species
UUAAGUGACUAAGCGUACACGGUGGAUGCCUUGGCAGUCAGAGGCGAUGAAGGACGUAGUAACUUGCGAUAAGCCCAGAUUAGGUAGUAACAACCGCUUGAGUCUGGGAUUUCCGAAUGGGGAAACCCACAUGCAUAAGCAUGUAUCUCACACUGAAUACAUAGGUGUGCAGAGGCGAACCGGGGGAACUGAAACAUCUAAGUACCCCGAGGAAAAGACAUCAACAGAGAUUCCGAAAGUAGCGGCGAGCGAAAUCGGAGUAGCCCUUAAGCUAGUUUGGGAUUAGGUGAAGGCUCUGGAAAGUGCCGCGAUACAGGGUGAUAGCCCCGUAACCGACAAUCCCUUAUUAGUGAAAUCGAGUAGGACGGCGCACGUGAAACGUUGUCUGAACAUGGGGGGACCAUCCUCCAAGGCUAAAUACUCCUGACUGACCGAUAGUGAACCAGUACCGUGAGGGAAAGGCGAAAAGAACCCCUGUGAGGGGAGUGAAAUAGAACCUGAAACCGUGUACGUACAAGCAGUGGGAGCCUCUUCGUGGGGUGACUGCGUACCUUUUGUAUAAUGGGUCAGCGACUUACAUUCUGUAGCAAGGUUAACCGAAUAGGGGAGCCGUAGGGAAACCGAGUCUUAACUGGGCGUUGAGUUGCAGGGUGUAGACCCGAAACCGAGUGAUCUAGCCAUGGGCAGGUUGAAGGUGAGGUAACACUUACUGGAGGACCGAACCGACUAAUGUUGAAAAAUUAGCGGAUGACUUGUGGCUGGGGGUGAAAGGCCAAUCAAACUCGGAGAUAGCUGGUUCUCCCCGAAAGCUAUUUAGGUAGCGCCUCGGACGAAUACUACUGGGGGUAGAGCACUGUUAAGGCUAGGGGGUCAUCCCGACUUACCAACCCUUUGCAAACUCCGAAUACCAGUAAGUACUAUCCGGGAGACACACGGCGGGUGCUAACGUCCGUCGUGGAAAGGGAAACAACCCAGACCGCCAGCUAAGGUCCCAAAUUACUACUAAGUGGGAAACGAUGUGGGAAGGCUCAGACAGCCAGGAUGUUGGCUUAGAAGCAGCCAUCAUUUAAAGAAAGCGUAAUAGCUCACUGGUCGAGUCGGCCUGCGCGGAAGAUUUAACGGGGCUAAGUAGUAAACCGAAGCUGCGGCAAUGCGAUUUAUCGUAUUGGGUAGGGGAGCGUUCUGUAAGCCGUUGAAGGUGUGUUGUAAAGCAUGCUGGAGGUAUCAGAAGUGCGAAUGCUGACAUGAGUAACGAUAAAGGGGGUGAAAAACCCCCUCGCCGGAAGACCAAGGGUUCCUGUCCAACGUUAAUCGGGGCAGGGUGAGUCGACCCCUAAGGCGAGGCUGAAGAGCGUAGUCGAUGGGAAACAGGUUAAUAUUCCUGUACUUCUUGCAAUUGCGAUGGAGGGACGGAGAAGGCUAGGUGGGCUUGGCGACGGUUGUCCAAGUUCAAGUGCGUAGGGAGUAGAAUUAGGCAAAUCCGGUUCUACAUAUCCUGAGACACGACGUCGAGCUACUACGGUAGUGAAGUCAUUGAUGCCAUGCUUCCGGGAAAAGCUUCUAAGCUUCAGAUUGCAAGGAAUCGUACCCCAAACCGACACAGGUGGUCGGGUAGAGAAUACCAAGGCGCUUGAGAGAACUCGGGUGAAGGAACUAGGCAAAAUGGUACCGUAACUUCGGGAGAAGGUACGCUCUUGACGGUGAAGUCCCUUGCGGAUGGAGCUAUUGGGAGUCGCAGAUACCAGGUGGCUGCAACUGUUUAUUAAAAACACAGCACUGUGCAAAAUCGAAAGAUGACGUAUACGGUGUGACGCCUGCCCGGUGCCGGAAGGUUAAUUGAUGGGGUUAGACUUCGGUCGAAGCUCUUGAUCGAAGCCCCGGUAAACGGCGGCCGUAACUAUAACGGUCCUAAGGUAGCGAAAUUCCUUGUCGGGUAAGUUCCGACCUGCACGA